UGCCAGCCGCCGCGGUAAUACAGAGGUCCCAAGCGUUGUUCGGAUUCACUGGGCGUAAAGAGCAUGUAGGCGGAUGAAUUAGUCAGAGGUGAAAGUCCACGGCUCAACCGUGGAAGUGCAUUUGAAACUGGAUAGCUUGAGUACUGGAGGGGGUGGUGGAAUUCCCGGUGUAGAGGUGAAAUUCGUAGAUAUCGGGAGGAAUACCGGUGGCGAAGGCGGCUCACUGGCUCGAUACUGACGCUGAGGUGCGAAAGCGUGGGGAGCAAACAGGAUUAGAUA
rnacentral:rRNA from 1 species